GGGGGUAUAGCUCAGUGGUAGAUCAUUCGACUGCAGAUCGACAGGUUCACGGCUCAAACCCGGGUGUCCUCU